CGCACAGCCACGCGCUAUACUGAAGAAAGAGGAAGAAAGUUGAUGGAAUCUAAAGACCAAUGUAAAUAUAAUUUUGGCUGUCGCUCCAGUGAUAAGGUGGCACUGGCGGUCUGGAAGAAGACAGAGAGAAUCGAGGGCCGACCUUCCCAGAUGGAGAGUCUGAGCUCUGCCACUGUCCUCCACACCGUCAUGACUGCUUCACGUCGCCUUUGAGACACUGUGUGCAGCAUUACUGUAUAAGGGUGAUUGUGUGUGUGUGUGUGUGUGUGUGUGUGUGUGUGUAAGGUGGAAGCGUUGAGAAGAUGCUUUAAGAUGCUGGUGAGAAUGGAAAAG